rnacentral:rRNA from 1 species
CCCUACGGGGUGCAGCAGGCGCGAAACCUUUACAAUGCACGAAAGUGUGAUAAGGGGAUUCCAAGUGCUCAAGCUUUGCUUGGGCUUUUGCCAAUACUAAAGAUCUUGGCGAAUAAGUGGUGGGCAAGACUGGUGCCAGCAACCGCGGUAACACCAGCGCCACAAGUGGGAACCAUAAUUAUUGGGCCUAAAGCGUUCGUAGCCGGUUUUGUGAGUCCUUUGUGAAAUCGUCGAGCUUAACUUGACGGAAUGCAGGGGAAACUGCAAAACUAGGGACCGGAAGGGGUUAGGAGUAUUUUUGGGGGAGCGGUAAAAUGCUAUAAUCCCAAAAAGACUGCCUGUGGCGAAGGCGCCUAACCAGUACGGAUCCGACGGUGAGGAACGAAAGCUAGGGGAGCGAUCCGGAUUAGAUACCCGAGUAGUCCUAGCUGUAAACUCUGCGAGCAAGGUGUUGCACAUUUUACGUGAAUGUACAGUGUCGAAACGAAGGUGUUAAGCUCGCCGCCUGGGGAGUACGGUCGCAAGACUGAAACUUAAAGGAAUUGAAAAAAAGAGCAC